rnacentral:lncRNA from 1 species
GGACAGCCUUCACCUCAAAGAUUGCUGGCUUAGAAUCACUAACAGACCAUAACAGGUAACUGAUAACAAGAAGCUAACUGCUAUCUCUACACUUUACUCUUCUAUACAUUUCUAGUACAGUUUCCUAUUUUAUUUUAUAGAUGUAAACACUUUUAAUGUGAAGUUAUUAUUUUACACAUACAGCUUUUUACAAGAAAUGAAUUGGUCACAUGGUCUGGCAGCCAUAUCAGGCUGUAUGAAAAUAUUAUAAACAUUGUCUUCUCUGAAAUUGAUGGAAGGAAUGAAUAGAAAUUUUGCACAUGUCCUUGGCAAGGUCCUCCAAUAUGAUUGAUGAAAGAGAGUUAAUACCAAACUCCACUGUCAUGCAAUUAUUACAUUUGUAUUUCCACCACUAUGAAUCUAAGUGAGUAUUAAACUCAUAUGUUUAUGAGUGCCAGAGGAAAUGGUAACAGUGUGGCUUCCAUUUUGAAAUGUAAACAAAAUGUAAAACGAAUGACACUUUAGAAUUGUACAGGUUUAAUGGCGAGCUGAUGAAUAAGAAUUAAGCUGUUUCUUUGCCGCAUGCUGUGGCAGCCAUUUUGGUUUAGGGGAUUCUUUUUUCAUCUACAAAAAUCUUCUGUGAUGUUGGUUAUGAAACACAUGAAAAUAUAUGUGUUGAACUAUGUUAUGAUUUGUAUUCACAUUUGUUCAAGAGAAGUCUUUGAUGUAGUAAAGAACCAGUUUUGGUUGGCUAAAAAUAUUAAAAUACACAUGACUGUACAAACUCAAUUAUCUCCAGGUACACAAAAACACACAAUUUUACAACACCCCAAAACAGAUAUAAUAUAACCCGGUACUCACUCAAGAUUUAUAUCCCUGGAUAGCCUUGAUCUGCGUGACCAUGAUAUCCAAAGUCACUCAAUCGAUUUGGUGGUUAAAAUUUUCCUUGGAAGUAAACCUUUGACCAACCGCACGGAUUGCUUCUGCCCAAAAUAAUUCCAUAAGAAAAGUGGUAGCAGCUGGUCAAUUUCAGGAGUUUAAAACAGAACAAAAUCCAGAACUGACCCUCUGGCUCCUAGGUAGUGAUAAUUUGCCUUGUUCAUGCGAACAAACCUACUGAACAGUGGUCUCCUGACAUGUUUGGAAUAGAAGUAGGUGUUCAACAAAGUUCAGUGGUGUUCGGGAGUUUAAGUGUCCGAUUUUAGUUCCAUGAACUCAACGACCAAACACCCAUUGUCUGCUUAAGCUUAAAAGUGACUACAACAGUGUUCACAUUCAGUACACAACAUUUCUAGUCUGUGUGAGAUCUCUGAUGUUUAAAGCAUUUCUCACAUUCGAAACAUGAGAAAGAUUUUUCUCCUGUCUGAGUUCUUUGAUGAACAACCCGGUCUAAGUACUGCCUAGAACAUUUCCCACAUGCAGGACAUGAAAAAGGUUUUUCUCUUGUGUGAGUUCUCUGGUGACUAACAAGAUGAGCGUACUGGCUAAAACAUUUCCCACAUUCAGGACAUGAAAAAGGUUUUUCUCCUGUGUGAGUUCUCUGAUGUCUCUUAAGAUCUGAUUUACAGAUAAAACUAUUCCCACACUCACUACAUGAGAAAGGUUUAUCUCCUGUGUGAGUUCUUUGAUGUCUCUUAAGCUCUGAUUUACUGAGAAAACAAUUCCCACACUCACUACAUGAGAAAGGUUUCUCUCCUGUGUGAAUUUUUUGGUGACCAACAAGAUGUGACUCCCGGCUAAAACAUUUCCCACAUUCAGGACAUGAAAAAGGUUUUUCUCCUGUGUGAGUUCUCUGAUGUUUCUUAAGAUCUGAUUUACUGAGAAAACAAUUCCCACACUCACUACACGAGAAAGGUUUCUCUCCUGUGUGAGUUCUCUGAUGUCUCCCCAGAGCUUGUUUACUAAGAAAACAAUUCCCACACUCACUACAUGAGAAAGGUUUCUCUCCUGUGUGAGUUCUCUGAUGAACAACAAGGCUUGAGUUAUAGCUAAAACAUUUCCCACAUUCGGGACACGAAAAAGGUUUUUCUCCUGUGUGAGUUCUCAGAUGUUUCUUAAGAUUUGAUUUACUGAGAAAACAAUUCCCACACUCACUACAUGAGAAAGGUUUCUCUCCUGUAUGAGUUCUCUGAUGUCUCUUAAGAUCUGAUUUACUGAGAAAACAAUUCCCACACUCACUACAUGAGAAAGGUUUCUCUCCUGUGUGAGUUCUCUGAUGAACAAUAAGGCCUGAGUGAUAGCUAAAACAUUUCCCACAUUCAGAGCAUUGACAUGGUUUUGGUUUUUUAUUUAUUAUCCAAUUUCUAGACGUACAGGAUUCCAAGAGGUUCCUUGAUUUUUGAGAGUUAGUAUCCUUGGUACUUUUAUUAAAAAAGUUCUUCAUAAUCUUGAUUAGUGUAUUUCUGUUCCUGUCACAUUCCUUCAAGAUUUCUGCUGCUGGAAAUAUCUGAAAGAAAUGUACUGUGAUUUAAAGAAAACCUGUUACUAUAAAUCAUUGUUUGUUUACAAUAUUUGGAAAAACUGAC